rnacentral:piRNA from 1 species
UUUGGACAGAAUGGAGCUAUGGAC